UACAGAGGGUGCGAGCGUUGUCCGGAAUCACUGGGCGUAAAGGGCGCGUAGGCGGUCCCGUCAGUCCCUUGUGAAAUCCCCCGGCUCAACUGGGGAACUGCAAGGGAUACAGCGGGGCUUGAGUUCGGGAGAGGGAAGCGGAAUUCCGGGUGUAGCGGUGAAAUGCGUAGAUAUCCGGAGGAACACCGGUGGCGAAGGCGGCUUCCUGGACCGAUACUGACGCUGAGGCGCGAAAGCUAGGGGAGCAAACGGG
rnacentral:rRNA from 1 species